rnacentral:SRP_RNA from 2 species
GCCGGGCAUGGUGGCGCCUGCCUGUAAUCCCAGCUACUCAGGAGGCUGAGGCAGGAGAAUCGCUUGAACCCAGGAGGCGAGGUUGCAGUGAGCUCAGAUCGCACCACUGCACUCCAGCCUGGGCAACAGAGCGAGACUUUGUCUCAA